GCACAAGCGAAAAGUGGCACAGGCAAAAAGUGGCGCCUAGGCAAGUGCAACAUGACAGCCACCCCAGGACCCGCGCUGCUGCCCUCCAACUCCACGGGCAGCCCACAGCAAAAUUUCAUGUGUUCCUUGUAUACAAGCUAUCAGGCCUCUGAGCCCAAGCCUGCAAGUACACAUCCAGAUGGCCUGAAGCAACUAAAGAACCACAAAAGAAGUGAAAAUAAUUCCUGCCUUAACUGAUGACAUUCCACCAUUGUGAUUUAUUCCUGCCCCACCCUAACUGGUCAAUUGACCUUGUGAAAUUCCUUCUCCUGGACAAUGAGUCUCACAACCUCCCCACUAAGCACCUUGUAACCCCCAUCUCUGCCUGCAAGAGAAAAACUCCCCUUGACUGUAAUUUUCCACUACUUGCCCUAAUCCUAUAAAACUGCCCCACUCCUAUCUCCCUUUGCUGACUCCUUUUUCGGACUCAGUCUGCCUGCACCCAUGUGAUUAAAAAGCUUUAUUGCUCACACAAAGCCUGUUUGGUUAUCUCUUCACACAGACAUGCGUGACAUUUGGUGCUGAAGACCCGGGAUGGGGGACUCCUUCGGGAGACUGGUCCCCUGUCCUCACCCUCACUCCAUGAGGAGAUCCACCUACAACCUCGGGUCCUCAGUCCAACCAGCCUAAGGAACAUCUCACCAAUUUCAAAUCAGUCUCCACCCCAAGUUCUGAGUCCUUUAAAUCUUCCUUUUCUAAGGACCCAUCUGACCUCUCUUCUCCUCCCCAGGCUGCUGCUCACCAGGAUGAGCCAGGUCCCAGUUCUUCCUCAGCCUCUGUUCCCCGACCCUAUAAUCCUUCUAUGACCUCCCCUUCUCACACUUGGUCCAGCUUACAACUUUGUUCCACAACUAGCUCUCCCCCACCUGCCCAAAAAUUUCCUCUUAAAGAGGUGGCUGGAGCUAAAGGCAUAGUCAAGGUUAAUGCUCCUUUUUCUUUAUCCGACCUCUCCCAAAUCAGUUAGCAUUUAGGCUCUUUUACAUCAAAUAUAAAAACCCAGCCCAGUUCAUGGCCCGUUUGGCAACAACUCUUAGAUGCUUUACUGCCCUAGACCCAGAGAGGCCAGAAGGCCGUCUUAUUCUCAAUAUGCAUUUUAUUACCCAAUCCACUCCUGACAUUAAAAAAAGCCCCAAAAAUUAGAUUCCAGCUGUAAAACCCCACAACAGGACUUAAUUAACCUCACCUUCAAGGUGUACAGUAAUAGAGAAGAGGCAGCCAAGCGGCAAUGUAUUUCUGAGUUGCAAUUACUUGCCUCUGCUGUGAGAGAAACCCCAGCUACAUCUCCAGCACACAAGAACUUCAAAACUCCUAAACUGCAGGGGCCAGGUGUUCCUCCAGGACCUCCUCCCCAGGAUCUUGCUUCAAUUGCCAGAAAUCCGGCCACUGGGCCAGGGAAUGCCCGCAGUCCAGGAUUCCUCCUAAGCCGUGUCCCAUCUGUGCAGGACCCCACUGGAAGUUGGACUGUCCAACUCACCUGGCAGCCACUCCUAGAGCCCCUAGAAUUCUAGCCCAAAGCUCUCUGACUGACUCCUUCCCAGAUCUUGGCUUAGUGGCUGAAGACUGAUGCUGCCCAAUUACCUCGGAAGCCUCCUGGACCAUCACAGAUACUUUGAGUAAUCUCUUAUAGUGGAAGGAUGCAAAGUUGGAAUAAGAGCAAUGACCACCUCUCCUGAGAGACCUGUUUGUUCCCACAUCUGUACUCUUCAGUCAACAGAACCUGAUGCAAAGAACAGAAAAGGGGAAGAUGUGGGGGAUUCAGUCAGGAUGGUGGGAGAAAUUGUAAAAUUAUAGGAAAUAAUCACAAACACUUGUGGAAGGCCUGGGGGUUUGCAUAAAAUGUUGGGCUGAAGGCAGCUGAAUUCUCUUAAAAGCUUAGGGCAUAGAUACACAGAAAUGUAGUUUAUCUAAAUGACUUGUUUACUUAUGUGGUCCUAAAACUAACCUUUGAUAGUUUAUGGGCAGGAUAGCUCUCUCAGGGUAGGGGGAGGGCAACCAGAUUGAUUACCCACUGAUGGUGUUGACUCAAAGCCUUCGUCAUUUAAUAUGUGCUGAAUAAAUGCCAGCAGGGCCAGUGAGUCAGGGCCACAGCUGCAACUCUUUACAGCACUCUCCUUUGAGUCUGUAAGUGGCCUAGACCCUCAGCCGGUCUGACAAGCAUAAUAUCUGUGUUAGUGUACAUUAUUCAUCCAUCGUUGGGUCAGGGUCUGCAGGACAGACCCCUAGAAAAAUAAAAUAAAAUUAAAAAUAGCCGGGUGUGGUUACACACACCUGUAAUCCCACCUACCUGGGAGGCUGAGAUAGAAUCGCUUGAACACAGGAGGCAGAAUUUGCAGUGAGCCGAGAUCAUGCCACUGCA
rnacentral:lncRNA from 10 species